CCAUGUUUCAAUUCAGUCUCCUCCUCUUCCUUCUUUGCUUCUCUCUCAGGCUUUUAUUUAUUUAAUCUAUUUUCAAGAAAAUAUGGGAAUUCCUCUUUUUUUUUUCCUUAAUUUUCUUGUUUCAGAUUUUAUUUUAUUUUAUUUUAUUUACCCUUAUCAUAGCAUAUGUAUAAUUAAUUUGAUUUUCUUUUAAUUUUGUUUUUUGGCCGGAAUAUUCUUAGAUAAAUGCAACUUUUGGCAGAAUCUAACCGGAGAGAAAAACAAGCAGAGACCCAGAAACCAAAACCUGCGGAUUUUGUAACUCUUUCAAUUCUUUUUUAAUACCCAAGAAACAUUUCUCUUUUUUUUUUUUUAAUUUUUUUUUGUUUGGUAUGAAGAUUGAGUUGAAACACAGAGCAGACCAGGUUGGGAUUCUUCUCGGGUACCACCUUCACGUAAUCAAUUGUGAUUUUAACCAGUGGUCAGAUGCCACGUCAGAUUGUUCUCGUGGCCUUGUUGCUAUAUGGGCAAUGAAAAAUACAAUUUUUAUUUUAAUUACAACAAUAAAUAUAAUAUAUACUAUAUUUUUCCAUUUGGUUUAGUACUAAUCUUUAAUCUAUCUUGUUUCUUGAAUCUCUUAUCCCUAUAUAUAUAAAGGGGAAUAGAGGGGCUUUGUGCAUGGAUAGAUUGCCAGUCGUUGUUUGCAGAUGUAGCAUCAUCAAGAUUCACAUGCAAAUGUACGGUGGUGAUGAUGCUAAACUAAUCUCUCUCUCCUUCUUUCUCAAUCUUUUCUGCGUCUCUCUUCUUCUUUGAAAGUGAGAAUCUUGAUGAUGCUGCAUCGGCAAUAAACGACUAUACUCAUACAUAUAUUUUAUAUCUACACCAUCAUGCACCUCAACAUACAAGAAAAAGUUGAUUCUUUUCUUUUCCUUUUUGUUUUUCUUUCUUUCUUUCUGUUGCUUUCAGGUGAUGGUGGAGGUGGAGGUGGUUGUGGGUAUUAUCAAUAGCAUUUUUGUGCGUUUUUUUAUUUAAUUUUGGAUUAAUUGUUUGUGUCUAGGUAUACAACUAAUGGAUUUAAUUUAAUGGAACAGCUUUAUAUUAUUAUCUUUAUGGGUUCUCUUUCUUAUUAUGAUUUGCAGGUGGCGGUAUUUAAAGGGUUAUUCAAGAACCUUUUAUUGGUUUGAGUUGCUGACUCUGCAGAUCUAUGAUUAUUCCAUUCCUAGGAAACUAUCCUGGAAUCUAAAAAUGGUAUCUGUUUACUAGCUUUCUCGUUGCAGAUGUGAUAGGACUUCAAGAAACCAAGGAGAAGGAGAAAAAAAAGGCCAAGAAAAAGAAAAAAAAAACAAUUUAUAGAGGGAUUUGUGUUGUAAUGAAGUUGAAGAAACUCCUUUGGAGCCAGUUUGGAGCUAUUUGAACAGAAGCUAAGAAUCUAUAAGCUUCCAUUCUAACAAGUUAGAGCCGUAGACACAAUUCUUGCAAUUGGCUUCAUGAAUGGUUUUCUCUUUGAAAUCCCUGAAUACGAAGGGUCAAAGAUUAUUUCAGCCACGGUGGAAUUGAUAGUAAGUUUAUGUAGAAUUAUUUGAAAUGGAAAAAGAAAACGUUUUAUAUAUAUAUAUAUAUAUAUAUAGUUUCAGGAGUGAAGAAAUCUAAUUGGCAGAUCUUAGGGUUCAAAUUGCCUGUCAAUGAUUCAUGAAGAGAGUUUGUUAUAACAUCGGUCGCAAAUUAGCGUUUUUUUUGUAGUGUUAAUUGUAAAGUCAUACAAUAUCCUUUCAAAAUUGUAGUGGAAUGGAAAAGAAAUAGAAUUUUCACAAUCCUUAACUUAUAGAUUUUUCGCAA